UCUUUAGACCUGUGCAAUGGGUUUACGAGACAAUGUGUCAGGGUGGGAACACAGCAGCACACCUUGUACUCCUAUGUGCCGCAGGGAUCUGGGGAGGG
rnacentral:SRP_RNA from 1 species